GAUGAACGCUAGCGGCAGGCCUAAUACAUGCAAGUCGAACGGGAUCCAGAUCAAAGCUUGCUUUGGUCUGGUGAGAGUGGUGCACGGGUGCGUAACGCGUGAGCAACCUACCCUUGUCAGGGGGAUAGCCCGGCGAAAGUCGGAUUAAUACCGCAUGACAUCAUUGAGAGGCAUCUUUCGAUGAUCAAAGAUUUAUCGGACAAGGAUGGGCUCGCGUGACAUUAGCUCGUUGGUAAGGUAACGGCUUACCAAGGCUGCGAUGUCUAGGGGCUCUGAGAGGAGAAUCCCCCACCCUGGUACUGAGACACGGACCAGACUCCUACGGGAGGCAGCAGUAAGGAAUAUUGGUCAAUGGACGGAAGUCUGAACCAGCCAUGCCGCGUGCAGGAGGACGGCCCUAUGGGUUGUAAACUGCUUUUAUACGGGAACAAACGUCGGUACGUGUACCGGUCUGAGUGUACCGUAAGAAUAAGGAUCGGCUAACUCCGUG
rnacentral:rRNA from 1 species